GCGCUCUUAGUUCAGUCCGGUAGAACGCGGGUCUCCAAAACCCGAUGUCGUAGGUUCAAAUCCCACAGGGCGUG
rnacentral:tRNA from 1 species